ensembl:ncRNA K01A11.8 ncRNA
UCUAAUCCAUGUCCAUCAAUUGUCGAUGACGUGUUCCCAUUCUCAGUUUCAUCUUUUUUCACCAAAAAAAAAGAGAAGAGAAGAAGAAGAAUUCCCAAAUGGCAUGGAAAAUGGGAUUUUUGAGUAUAGGCGGAGUGGGGAGGGUUUCCCGCUGAUGCUGCUGCUAGUUACCACAAAACAGAAAUGUUUCCAUUUUUGUCUAUU